GCACUCUCUCCAGGACAAGCGACCUCCUUUUGGUUGUGAAGUGGCAUUGAAUGAAGUGUUCAAGUGAGAUAUUACAACCUAGAUCGUGACAAGUGGAGUGAACCAGAUCAAGGUGCUGCUACACCUGAUCCCAGGAUCAGCUUUUGAUGAACCAGUCAUUGAGGUGCCCAUCCGGGGGGGGCCCCCAGGACCUAGGAGGAGG